GUCUUUUAGAUUAUAAUUUAAAGUCUGGCCUGCCCUAUGAAAAAUUAAAUGGCCGCAGUAUUUUGACUGUGCAAAGGUAGCAUAAUAAUUAGUUUUUUAAUUGAAAGCUGGAAUGAAAGGUUGAACGAAAAAAUAUCUGUCUCAAUUUAAUUUAAUUAGAAUUUUAUUUUUUAGUAAAAAAGCUAAAAUAAUUUUUAAAGACGAGAAGACCCUAUAGAGUUUUAUAUUUUAAUAUUAUAUAUUUUAUAGAAUUAUUUUAUGAUUUUAAAUAUUUUAUUGGGGUGAUAAAUAAAUUUAAAUAACUUUAUUAAUUUCUUACAUUAAUAUAUGAUUAAUUGAUCCAUAAAAAUGAUUAAAGAUUAAAUUACCUUAGGGAUAACAGCGUUAUUUUUUUUUAGAGUUCUUAUCGAAAAAAAAGAUUGCGACCUCGAUGUUGGAUUAAAAUUUAUUUAUGGUGUAGAAGCUAUAAUAUUAGGUCUGUUCGACCUUUAAAAUUUUACAUGAUCUGAGUUUAAACCGGUGUGAGCCAGGUUGGUUUCUAUCUUAAAAUAAGUAAAAUAUUUUAGUACGAAAGGACCAAAUAUUUAUAAAAUUUAUUAAAUUUUGAAUAC
rnacentral:rRNA from 3 species